CACGUAGGCGGAUCGGUAAGUCAGAUGUGAAAUCCCGGAGCUCAACUCCGGAACUGCAUUUGAUACUGCCAGUCUUGAGUGAGGUAGAGGGGGGUGGAAUUCCCGGUGUAGAGGUGAAAUUCGUAGAUAUCGGGAGGAACACCAGAGGCGAAGGCGACCCCCUGGGCCUUUACUGACGCUGAGGUGCGAAAGCGUGGGGGAGCAAACA
rnacentral:rRNA from 1 species